rnacentral:rRNA from 1 species
GGAUGAACGCUAGCGGCAGGCCUAACACAUGCAAGUCGAGGGGCAGCACAGGUAGCAAUACUGGGUGGCGACCGGCGGAUGGGUGCGUAACGCGUAUGCAACCUACCAUUGAUUGGGGCAUAGCCCGAAGAAAUUCGGAUUAAUACUCCAUAAUAUUCAUCAAAGGCAUCUUUUAUGAAUUAAAGCUUUUGCGAUCAAUGAUGGGCAUGCGUGACAUUAGUUAGUUGGUGAGGUAACGGCUCACCAAAACGAUGAUGUCUAGGGGUUCUGAGAGGAUUAUCCCCCACACUGGUACUGAGACACGGACCAGACUCCUACGGGAGGCAGCAGUGAGGAAUAUUGGUCAAUGGACGCAAGUCUGAACCAGCCAUGCCGCGUGCAGGAUGACGGCCCUAUGGGUUGUAAACUGCUUUUCCACGGGAAGAACCCUCCGACGUGUCGGAGACUGACGGUACCGUGGGAAUAAGCAUCGGCUAACUCCGUGCCAGCAGCCGCGGUAAUACGGAGGAUGCAAGCGUUAUCCGGAUUUAUUGGGUUUAAAGGGUGCGUAGGUGGGCUUAUAAGUCAGCGGUGAAAUCCCCCGGCUCAACCAGGGAAUUGCCGUUGAUACUGUUAGCCUUGAGUACAGUUGAAGUGGGCGGAAUGUAGCAUGUAGCGGUGAAAUGCAUAGAUAUGCUACAGAACACCAAUAGCGAAGGCAGCUCACUAAGUUGUAACUGACACUAAUGCACGAAAGCGUGGGGAUCAAACAGGAUUAGAUACCCUGGUAGUCCACGCUGUAAACGAUGAGUGCUAGGUGUUGGGUAGCGAUAUUCAGUGCCGGAGUAAACACAAUAAGCACUCCGCCUGGGGAGUACGGUCGCAAGACUGAAACUCAAAGGAAUUGACGGGGACCCGCACAAGCAGCGGAGCAUGUGGUUUAAUUCGAAGCAACGCGAAGAACCUUACCAAGGCUUGACAUCCCCUUGACAGAUGCAGAGAUGUAUCCUCCUCUUAUGAGGCAAGGGAGACAGGUGGUGCAUGGUUGUCGUCAGCUCGUGUCGUGAGAUGUUGGGUUAAGUCCCGCAACGAGCGCAACCCUCGCCUUUAGUUGCCAUCAUUUAGUUGGGCACUCUAGAGGGACUGCCGGUGAUAAGCCGGAGGAAGGUGGGGAUGACGUCAAGUCCUCAUGGCCCUUACGGGUAGGGCUACACACGUGCUACAAUGGUGGUGACAGUGGGCAGCGACACAGUGAUGUGAUGCUAAUCUCAAAAAGCCAUCUCAGUUCAGAUUGUACUCUGCAACUCGAGUACAUGAAGUUGGAAUCGCUAGUAAUCGUAGAACAGCAUGCUACGGUGAAUACGUUCCCGGGCCU